rnacentral:misc_RNA from 1 species
GCAUUUUCGAGCCAAAAGUGUGAAACGCCUAUGCGGGGAAAUCAGUCCACUGGACUGAUUUCUGAUCCCGCUUCAGUGCGUCGGAUAAUGCGACAAAACAAAUAGUUAGAGCGGUUCCGGUUAAGACGAAACCGUUGGAGCCGGUACAGUGACCGGCUCCA